UACGUAGGGGGCAAGCGUUGUCCGGAAUCAUUGGGCGUAAAGAGCGUGUAGGCGGCCUGGUAAGUCCGCUGUGAAAGUCCAGGGCUCAACCCUGGAAUGCCGGUGGAAACUGUCAGGCUCGAGUCCGGAAGAGGCGAGUGGAAUUCCUGGUGUAGCGGUGAAAUGCGCAGAUAUCGGGAGGAACACCAGUGGCGAAGGCGGUUGCCUGGAGCUUUGCUGACGCUGAUGCGCGAAAGCGUGGGGAGCGAUCCGG
rnacentral:rRNA from 1 species